rnacentral:rRNA from 1 species
GGUUAAAACUCAAAUGAAUUGACGGGGGCCCGCACAAGCGGUGGAGCAUGUGGUUUAAUUCGAUGCAACGCGAAGAACCUUACCUGGUCUUGACAUCCACAGAACUUUCCAGAGAUGGAUUGGUGCCUUCGGGAACUGUGAGACAGGUGCUGCAUGGCUGUCGUCAGCUCGUGUUGUGAAAUGUUGGGUUAAGUCCCGCAACGAGCGCAACCCUUAUCCUUUGUUGCCAGCGGUCCG